UACGAAGGGUGCAAGCGUUAAUCGGAAUUACUGGGCGUAAAGCGUUCGUAGGCGGUUUGUUAAGUCUGUUGUGAAAUCCCCGGGCUCAACCUGGGAAUGGCAAUGGAUACUGGCAGGCUAGAGUGUGUCAGAGGAUGGUGGAAUUCCCGGUGUAGCGGUGAAAUGCGUAGAGAUCGGGAGGAACAUCAGUGGCGAAGGCGGCCAUCUGGGACAACACUGACGCUGAGGCACGAAAGCGUGGGGAGCAAACAGG
rnacentral:rRNA from 1 species